rnacentral:ncRNA from 1 species
ACGUAGUGUUGUUGAUGUUUCGUUUAUGGACAUGUAUAUGUUCGCGGAUGUCUCCGAGUGUGUGUGGGUGUGUAUUUAUUCGUAUAUGUGAGCGCGUGUGCAUGUGUUCGUGUGUUCACGCACGCUUUUCUAUAAGUGUGCUUUUUGAAGGUGGCCAUGGAAGUCGUAAAGCACUAAGGAGUGUGUAGCAACUCAUUUGCCGAAGCAACUAGCCCCGAAAAUAGAUAGCGCUCUAGUGUUUCCACGGCCGCCGAUGGCAGACUCAAGCAAUCAUGAGGGUUCUAAGCUUCUGCCGGUAGGAGGGCCGCUGCAGUGAGCGUUGAAGGCCUGAAGGUAGGAAGAAGAGAAGGCAACAUACCGGCUCGAGCCGGUAUGCUGUCUCCUCUCCUUCGCACCUGCGGAAGUUGAGGCCGCGGUCGUUAAGAACGCCCCCAAGGGUGUCGGUGUCCUUUCUCGUUAAGGGGAUGUUAGAUGCAAGCAGGUUAUAGUCCAAUAGGAGUUUUUUUUUUUUCUUUUUGUUCGCUUUUGGACGCCGUUGGGGGUGUGUUCCUCCGAACCGCAAGUCUCCCCCGCUUCAAAUCUAGUGGCGUCACCUUGUCUUCAGAAACUUCCCACCUCAAUGGUUGAAGGUGGCGGGCGUGAGCUCGCCUGUACCUGUCGCUAGUACAGAUCAGGGUGGUAGUAGCAUAUAUACUCAAGUGAGAACCUUGAGGGCUGAAGUGAAGAAGGGUUCCAUGCGAACAGCGGUUUAGCAUGG